GUGUAGCUGACGAGUCCCAAAUGGGGCGAGACGCGCAUCCUAGAU
rnacentral:hammerhead_ribozyme from 1 species